rnacentral:rRNA from 1 species
CCUACGGGAGGUAGCAGUGGGGGAUAUUGCACAAUGGGGGGAACCCUGAUGCAGCGACGCCGCGUGGGUGAAGAAGCGCCUAGGCGCGUAAAGCCCUGUCAGCAGGGAAGAAAAUGACGGUACCUGAAGAAGAAGCCCCGGCUAACUACGUGACAGCAGCCGCGGUAAUACGGAGGGGGCAAGCGUUAUCCGGAUUUACUGGGUGGAAAGGGGGCGCAGACGGCGUUGCAAGCCAGGAGUGAAAGCCCGGGGCCCAACCCCGGGACUGCUCGUGGAACUGCGUGGCUGGAGUGCAGGAGGGGCAGGCGGAAUUCCUGGUGUAGCGGUGAAAUGCGUAGAUAUCAGGAGGAACACCGGUGGCGAAGGCGGCCUGCUGGACUGCAACUGACGUUGAGGCCCGAAAGCGUGGGGAGCAAACAGGAUUAGAUACCCUGGUAGUC